UAUCGAAUAAACACUUGAGCAGGCUGUUGCUGGCCCUUGUCAUGGGGGUAUGUGCACGCUUGUCCUUUGUUAUUUUCUCCAACUUGUGCACAUUUUGUAGACCCUGGAGCUUUAUGGAUUUUUCAUUCGAGUCGGGACUGCUGUGCUCUCCUCGUGAGGUCGGCUUUCCCUUGCACCUCCAGGUCUAUGUCAUUUUUCACAACCUCUUUGAAACAUGUUUGGAAUGUUGGAUCUACCUAUAGAAAUGAAAUAUACAACUUUCAGCAACGGAUCUCUUGGCUCUCGCAUCGAUGAAGAACGCAGCGAAAUGCGAUAAGUAAUGUGAAUUGCAGAAUUCAGUGAAUCAUCGAAUCUUUGAACGCAUCUUGCGCUCCUUGGUAUUCCGAGGAGCAUGCCUGUUUGAGUGUCAUUUAACUUCUCAAACCACAUCAGAGAUGUGGCUUGGACGUGGGGGUUGUUUGCAGGCUUUUUGUUCUACUGAAGGUCGGCUCCCCUGAAAUGUAUUAGUGGUAUCUGGGCUACUGCUAUAGGUGUGAUAAAUUAUCUAUGCCUUUGGUAUGCUGCAUGAACAGAUUGCGCUGCUUAUAACAAAGAUGAAUCUGA
rnacentral:rRNA from 1 species